rnacentral:miRNA from 1 species
AGGCCCUUUUUGAUUGCUAUGU